AUGUCAGUUGCUCUAAGUCACUUGGGGCCUGCCACUAAUGCCAGGCUGGCCUGCCCCCUCCAGCCACUAUGUCGACCACACAGCCUGGACCCCCAGGGCAGGGAGGAGCUGCCAGGAGCGGGGAGGCGGGGAGGGCUUGGCACUGCUUUGAUCUUGGGCAUCAAAGGCCAGGAAAUGCAAUCAGCUCUGAAGAGCACUUGCUGUCAAGCCAUCCCCAGCAGGCACAGGCCCAGACCCCUCCCCACUCUCCCAGCCCCCGCCUGGGCCGUAGUAGGCUGGCCAAGGGCCCUGGGCAGCAGACUGGAAAGGCCACCCCCAUCCCCAAGCAAUUCAACAGCAACUCUGAAUAAGAGCUAAUUCUGCCAGCAUGGCGUCUUCCUGCUGCGCCCCCUCCCCUGCUUCCCUCCACCUCCUCCCUGCCCCCCACAAUGGCUACCCCCUGACUUUUAUUGUCCCAGACAUUUGCAUGAGAACAGGAACCUCAUGCUCUGGGCUCCAUCUGCUCCUGCUUAUUCCUCACUUGGAACUGUCACCCAUGGUCACACAUGCCCCCUCCCCACACCCUCUCCACCUCCACCCAGGCUGCCCCCAGAGUCAGGGCUGGUGGGGUUUCUGGUCCUUGGCACAGGGUGGUGCAUCCUGAGAUAGAGCGGCCCAGAAGUGGACAACGUCUCGUAUGAGGAGGCCAGAGUGUGCAAGUCUCAGGAUCUCUCUCCCUGAAAGGCCCCCAGGCCCAGUAUCCAUGAGUCACAAGCUCCAGUAGAUAGCAUCCUGUGUUGCAUAUAGGAAUUAAAAUGGAUAGGACAAGGAAAGCGAUGUUGUUAAGUAAAUGAGUAAAUAAAUGCGCCUCUCAGAGGGCACUUACUAUGUGAAGAAUUUUACAAAUGUUACCUCAUGUUUACAAAGACGGCCUCAGCUACCUCAGGGAGGCGCAACUGUAAUCCUCUUCAUCCAGGUGAGAAACCAGGGCAGAGACUAAUUAAGGAGCUAGUCCCUGGCCACACACCUGGUCAGAGUGACUGAGGUCAGUCGGUGCUCACUCACCCUCUGAGUCUGUGCUCAUGCCCUGCUCUAGAAGGCUCUUCUGCCUGUCCCCAUCCUUCAACGCCCAUUUCCAUCUUCCUCCUGAAGCCUCCGUGCUUACUGAGACCCAGCAGUCACUGUAUUUCUGGAAAGAUUUUACAAGGACCAGAGUCUCAUUUAAAACUGAACUCUCUGCUUGUCUAAAAAUUAAAAACCUCUUUUGGUUGGAGAUUUUUCAUUUCAAGGUGAUUCCCUCAAAUGCCAAGUGAGCAAGUCAGGAGCCAGAUCGGCCAGUCCACGUGCAGGCCAGGCUGCUAGGCCCUCUGGGUCAGCAUCGGUGGACCCCAACUCUUUCUUCUGAAGACCACACCUCCCCAGGCACUGGCCAGUCCUGCCCCCUUUCCGAGGUCUCUGCCCCUCAGUUUCUGGCAGCUUCUACACCUCGGCUGUGCCCAACUGCACAAGUCAGAAUUUACGGGCUCUCUUUGGGGCUGCUAUUAUCCUGGGGAGACAAGCACAACCAAAUGGACAUGUUGGUCGGGCAAUGGACCCCUGGACUGGGAGAAAGAGAGCUGAGGUCUAUAUCU
rnacentral:lncRNA from 1 species